AGCGUACACGGUGGAUGCCCUGGCAGUCAGAGGCGAUGAAGGACGUGCUAAUCUGCGAUAAGCGUCGGUGAGGUGAUAUGAACCGUUAUAACCGGCGAUUUCCGAAUGGGGAAACCCAGUGUGUUUCGACACACUAUCAUUAACUGAAUCCAUAGGUUAAUGAGGCGAACCGGGGGAACUGAAACAUCUAAGUACCCCGAGGAAAAGAAAUCAACCGAGAUUCCCCCAGUAGCGGCGAGCGAACGGGGAGGAGCCCAGAGCCUGAAUCAGUGUGUGUGUUAGUGGAAGCGUCUGGAAAGGCGUGCGAUACAGGGUGACAGCCCCGUACACAAAAAUGCACAUAUUGUGAGCUCGAUGAGUAGGGCGGGACACGUGGUAUCCUGUCUGAAUAUGGGGGGACCAUCCUCCAAGGCUAAAUACUCCUGACUGACCGAUAGUGAACCAGUACCGUGAGGGAAAGGCGAAAAGAACCCCGGCGAGGGGAGUGAAAAAGAACCUGAAACCGUGUACGUACAAGCAGUGGGAGCCUCUUAAUGGGGUGACUGCGUACCUUUUGUAUAAUGGGUCAGCGACUUAUAUUCUGUAGCAAGGUUAACCGAAUAGGGGAGCCGAAGGGAAACCGAGUCUUAACUGGGCGUUAAGUUGCAGGGUAUAGACCCGAAACCCGGUGAUCUAGCCAUGGGCAGGUUGAAGGUUGGGUAACACUAACUGGAGGACCGAACCGACUAAUGUUGAAAAAUUAGCGGAUGACUUGUGGCUGGGGGUGAAAGGCCAAUCAAACCGGGAGAUAGCUGGUUCUCCCCGAAAGCUAUUUAGGUAGCGCCUCGUGAAUUCAUCUCCGGGGGUAGAGCACUGUUUCGGCAAGGGGGUCAUCCCGACUUACCAACCCGAUGCAAACUGCGAAUACCGGAGAAUGUUAUCACGGGAGACACACGGCGGGUGCUAACGUCCGUCGUGAAGAGGGAAACAACCCAGACCGCCAGCUAAGGUCCCAAAGUCAUGGUUAAGUGGGAAACGAUGUGGGAAGGCCCAGACAGCCAGGAUGUUGGCUUAGAAGCAGCCAUCAUUUAAAGAAAGCGUAAUAGCUCACUGGUCGAGUCGGCCUGCGCGGAAGAUGUAACGGGGCUAAACCAUGCACCGAAGCUGCGGCAGCGACACUAUGUGUUGUUGGGUAGGGGAGCGUUCUGUAAGCCUGUGAAGGUGGCCUGUGAGGGUUGCUGGAGGUAUCAGAAGUGCGAAUGCUGACAUAAGUAACGAUAAAGCGGGUGAAAAGCCCGCUCGCCGGAAGACCAAGGGUUCCUGUCCAACGUUAAUCGGGGCAGGGUGAGUCGACCCCUAAGGCGAGGCCGAAAGGCGUAGUCGAUGGGAAACAGGUUAAUAUUCCUGUACUUGGUGUUACUGCGAAGGGGGGACGGAGAAGGCUAUGUUGGCCGGGCGACGGUUGUCCCGGUUUAAGCGUGUAGGCUGGUUUUCCAGGCAAAUCCGGAAAACCAAGGCUGAGGCGUGAUGACGAAGCACUACGGUGCUGAAGCGACAAAUGCCCUGCUUCCAGGAAAAGCCUCUAAGCAUCAGGUAACAUCAAAUCGUACCCCAAACCGACACAGGUGGUCAGGUAGAGAAUACCAAGGCGCUUGAGAGAACUCGGGUGAAGGAACUAGGCAAAAUGGUGCCGUAACUUCGGGAGAAGGCACGCUGAUAUGUAGGUGAAGCGACUUGCUCGUGGAGCUGAAAUCAGUCGAAGAUACCAGCUGGCUGCAACUGUUUAUUAAAAACACAGCACUGUGCAAACACGAAAGUGGACGUAUACGGUGUGACGCCUGCCCGGUGCCGGAAGGUUAAUUGAUGGGGUUAGCGGUAACGCGAAGCUCUUGAUCGAAGCCCCGGUAAACGGCGGCCGUAACUAUAACGGUCCUAAGGUAGCGAAAUUCCUUGUCGGGUAAGUUCCGACCUGCACGAAUGGCGUAAUGAUGGCCAGGCUGUCUCCACCCGAGACUCAGUGAAAUUGAACUCGCUGUGAAGAUGCAGUGUACCCGCGGCAAGACGGAAAGACCCCGUGAACCUUUACUAUAGCUUGACACUGAACAUUGAGCCUUGAUGUGUAGGAUAGGUGGGAGGCUUUGAAGUGUGGACGCCAGUCUGCAUGGAGCCGACCUUGAAAUACCACCCUUUAAUGUUUGAUGUUCUAACGUUGGCCCGUAAUCCGGGUUGCGGACAGUGUCUGGUGGGUAGUUUGACUGGGGCGGUCUCCUCCUAAAGAGUAACGGAGGAGCACGAAGGUUGGCUAAUCCUGGUCGGACAUCAGGAGGUUAGUGCAAUGGCAUAAGCCAGCUUGACUGCGAGCGUGACGGCGCGAGCAGGUGCGAAAGCAGGUCAUAGUGAUCCGGUGGUUCUGAAUGGAAGGGCCAUCGCUCAACGGAUAAAAGGUACUCCGGGGAUAACAGGCUGAUACCGCCCAAGAGUUCAUAUCGACGGCGGUGUUUGGCACCUCGAUGUCGGCUCAUCACAUCCUGGGGCUGAAGUAGGUCCCAAGGGUAUGGCUGUUCGCCAUUUAAAGUGGUACGCGAGCUGGGUUUAGAACGUCGUGAGACAGUUCGGUCCCUAUCUGCCGUGGGCGCUGGAGAACUG
rnacentral:rRNA from 1 species